ACUGCCUGUGCUCCGGGAUUUUGCCUUCCAAAAAAGCUAGUGAGUCAUCGCUAUGUACAGGGGCAACAACAAGCUCAGUGAUGUCCUUCAGAUCCAUGCAGGCUCAUCCUCAGGUACACGUGAUCCCACCAAAAAAGGCAAAAACCUGAGAAAACUGCAAUUUUCAUGGGUGUUUCCACCCACUGUUUUUCUGCUAGAGAAACUCUGUGACACAACAUGAGGUUUGUUUGUGUCAGCCUGUUGCGGGGUUCUUCAGCUAACCUCGUCUUUCGUUCCAAAAAUCCAGGCUUAGUCGGAAAAUGAUGGUUUUCUGGGUUUUUAUUCCCCACCUCACCAGGUGCAAACAGUGCCAAUAUGUACAAACCAAAAAAAAUAAAGUGAAUGAACCAAAAAUGCUCUAUAUACAA